rnacentral:rRNA from 1 species
UACGGAGGAUGCGAGCGUUAUCCGGAUUUAUUGGGUUUAAAGGGUGCGUAGGCGGACGCUUAAGUCAGCGGUAAAAUUGCGGGGCUCAACCCCGUCGUGCCGUUGAAACUGGCGUUCUUGAGUGAGCGAGAAGUAUGCGGAAUGCGUGGUGUAGCGGUGAAAUGCAUAGAUAUCACGCAGAACUCCGAUAGCGAAGGCAGCUUACCAGACUGCGACUGACGCUGAAGCACGAGAGCGUGGGUAGCGAACAGG